GGCUCCGGUUGAACGCUGGCGGUCUUUGCAGCUGCAGUCGACAGCUGGACUUCGGUCUGGUGGCGAGAGUGGCGAACGGGUGAGUAAUGUAUCGGAACGUGCCUAGUAGCGGGGGAUAACUAUGCCCGAAAGGCGUAGCUAUCCACCACCAUACGCCCUUCGGGGGAAAGCGGGGGACCUUCGGGCCUCGCACUGUGGGGCGGCCGAUAUCAGGUUAGCUAGUUGGUGGGGGUAACGGCUCACCAAGGCGACGAUCGUGGCUGGUUUGAAGAGGACGACCAGCCACACUGGGACCCGAGACGGCCCAGACUCUACCGGAGGCAACAGUGGGAAUUUUGGACAAUGGGGAAACCCUGGUGAUCAGCAAACCGCGUGUGCGAUGAAGGCCUUCGGGUUGUAAACGCAUGGGAAAAAGGCAGCGGGAUAAUGCCGCUGCAACUGGCGUGCUACACAGAAUAAACUCCGGCUAACUACGUGCCAGCAGCCGCGUUUGUCCGCGUAGGGUGCAAGCGUUAAUCGGAAUUACUGGGCGUAAAGCGUGCGCAGGCGGUUCCGGAAAGAAAGAUGUGAAAUCCCCAGAGCUUAACUGCGGAACUGCAUUUAACUACCGAGCUAGAGUGUGUCAGGGAGGUGGAAUUCCGCGUGUAGCAGUGAAAUGCGUAGAUAUGCGGAGAGGAACACCGAUGGCGAAGGCAGCCUCCUGGGAUAACACUGACGCUCAUGCACGAAAGCGUGGGGAGCAAACAGGAUUAGAUACCUGGUAGUCCGCUAAACGAUGUCAACUAGCUGUUGGGGCCUUUGGAGCCGGUAGCGCAACUAACGCGUGAAGUUGACCGCCUGGGGAAGUACGGUCGCAAGAUUAAAACUCAAAGGAAUUGACGGGACCACUACAAGCGGUGAAUCAGUGUGGAUUAAUUCGAUGCAACGCGAAAAACCUUACCUACCCUUGACAUGUCUGGAUCCAGAAGAGAUUUGGGAAUGCCAUAGAGAAGAACCAGGAACACAGGUGUAGCCAACAUCGUCAGCUCAUGUCGUGAGAUGUUGGGUUAAGUCCCGCAACAGGCGCAACCCUUGUCGUGGAUUGCUACGAAAGGGCACUCUAAUGAGACUGCCGGUGACAAACCGGAGGAGGAAGGUGGGGAUGACGUCAAGUCCUCAUAGAGGCCUGGUGGGCCGCGUGUACAAUGGUCAGGACAGAGGGUCGCCAGCCCGCGAGGAAUAAUCCCAGAAACCCGAUCGUAGUCCGGAUCGCAGUCUGCAACUCGACUGCGUGAAGUCGGAAUCGCUAGUAAUCGCGGAUCAGCAUGUCUUUGGUGAACCGUUCCAGAUUAACCCUUUUUGCCGUCACACCAUGCGGGAGUGGGUUUCAGAAGUAGUUAGCCUAACCCGUAGGGAGGGGCGAUUACUACAGUGCGGUUGCUUCUUGACUGGGUGAAGUCGUAACAAAGGUGG
rnacentral:rRNA from 1 species